UACGUAGGGAGCAAGCGUUGUCCGGAAUCACUGGGCGUAAAGGGCGCGUAGGCGGAUCUUUAAGUCGGGGGUGAAAGCCUGAGGCUCAACCUCAGAAUUGCCUUCGAUACUGGAGAUCUUGAGACCGGAAGAGGUAAGUGGAACUGCGAGUGUAGAGGUGAAAUUCGUAGAUAUUCGCAAGAACACCAGUGGCGAAGGCGGCUUACUGGUCCGGUUCUGACGCUGAGGCGCGAAAGCGUGGGGAGCAAACAGG
rnacentral:rRNA from 1 species